rnacentral:rRNA from 1 species
AUGAAAAUUUUAUGCUGGAACUGCCGUGGGAUAGGCGAUCCCGCGACAGUUCGUGAAUUACGUGAUCUCGUGGAGAUCAGUUCGCCUUCUAUCUUGUGUUUAGUUGAAACCCAGUUACAGAAGGGUCGUGUCGAAGGUUUACGCACGUCGUUAGGGUAUGAUUUCAGCUUUGGUGUCGGUAGUAGUGGUCGUAGUGGAGGUCUUUGUAUUUUUUGGAAAAACUCUUUGGAUGUUUCAAUAAAGAACUUUUCGGAGUAUCACGUGGAUGCCUGGGUCACUGAACCGGGUAACGAGCAAUGGAGAUUGACGUGUUUCUAUGGUGAAGCUACCAGGAGCCUUCGGUAUAAAACUUGGGACACCAUGAAGCGUUUGAGGGGAGAGAGUACACUCCCAUGGAUGUGCAUUGGGGACUUUAAUGAGAUAUUGCGGCCCGAAGAGCAGCAUGGACCAAAUGAGCGUGAUAGCUCGCAGAUAGAUGCAUUCAGAGAAGCCAUUGAUAUUUGCGGCCUAGCCGACCUGGGGUAUCGG